GGGAGGCAAGGAUGGCAAUCCACCAGACAUUGGAACUAUAUUCUUUGAAACUCAUAAGAAGGGUGCAAAUUUGGUUGACUUUAAUGUUCAAGAGAAAUAUGAUCAAAUACGUGAUGUCAUCCAAUCCAACCCUUCUUUGUCUCAUAUGGAGGUUGUAGAACAAUGUUUUGAAACACGACAUCGUGAUCAAGUUAUUGGUUAUGGGGGUGGAAUAAAGGCAAAAGAAGUUAAGAAAUCUCAUUCCAACGUUGGCCUUCAAGAGGAGAAUCGAUUGCUUAAGGAUCGUUUGUCUGAAGUAGAAACUAGGAUGAAAUACCUGGAGGACUUAUUAUUGAGCCAAUACUCUAAUGCUCCAUCUAGAACUUCUCUAUCUACAGAUCAAUCCACAUGAUUGUGAUAAGAUGUGAUUAUGCAAAUAGUGAAAGCAUUGAAGUAAUUUUUUUGGGUGAAAGUGUUCAAAAGUAACUUAGAAGAUAUUGUUGAAUUUUAUUUCAGCCUUCACGUAUUUAUAGUUUUCUUAUUGACAUAAACAAAUUAAGUGUAAAUAAUUAAUAUUAAAUCGACAUUUGAGACGGUUGUUAUGACAUUUUUCAUAUUGAUGUAUGAAUGUUAUUUUAUUUAU